GAGUUUGAUCAUGGCUCAGAACGUACGCUGGCGGCACGCCUAAUACAUGCAAGUCGAACGAAGUAGCAAUACUUAGUGGCAGACGGGUGAGUAACAUGUAGGUAUCUUCCCAUUGGUGAGGAAUAACACGAGGAAACUUGUGCUAAUACCUCAUAAGUCUUUACGGAGAAAGCUUUAUGCGCCAAUGGAUGAGCCUGCACUUGAUUAGUUUGUUGGUGGGGUAAUGGCCUACCAAGACAAUGAUCAAUAGCUGAUUUGAGAGGAUGAUCAGCCACAUUGGGACUGAGACACGGCCCAAACUCCUACGGGAGGCAGCAGUAGGGAAUCUUGCACAAUGGGGGAAACCCUGAUGCAGCGAUGCCGCGUGAGUGAAGAAGGCCCUUGGGUUGUAAAGCUCUUUCGUCGGGGAAGAAAAUGACUGUACCCGAAUAAGAAGGUCCGGCUAACUUCGUGCCAGCAGCCGCGGUAAUACGAAGGGACCUAGCGUAGUUCGGAAUUACUGGGCUUAAAGAGCUCGUAGGUGGUUAAAAAAGUUGAUGGUGAAAUCCCAAGGCUUAACCUUGGAACUGCCAUCAAAACUUUUUAGCUAGAGUGUGAUAGAGGUAAGUGGAAUUUCUAGUGUAGAGGUGAAAUUCGUAGAUAUUAGAAAGAACACCAAAUGCGAAGGCAACUUACUGGGUCACUACUGACACUGAGGAGCGAAAGCAUGGGUAGCGAAGAGGAUUAGAUACCCUCGUAGUCCAUGCCGUAAACGAUGUGUGCUAGACGUUGGAAAUAUAUUUUUCAGUGUCGCAGCGAAAGCAUUAAGCACACCGCCUGGGGAGUACGACCGCAAGGUUAAAACUCAAAUGAAUUGACGGGGACCCGCACAAGCAGUGGAGCAUGUGGUUUAAUUCGAAGAUACGCGCAGAACCUUACCAACACUUGACAUGUUCGUCGCGAGCCUAAGAGAUUAGGCUUUUCAGUUUGGCUGGACGAAACACAGGUGCUGCAUGGCUGUCGUCAGCUCGUGUCGUGAGAUGUUGGGUUAAGUCCCGCAACGAGCGCAACCCCUACUUUUAGUUGCCACCAUUUAGUUGGGCACUUUAAAAGAACUGCCAGUGAUAAGCUGGAGGAAGGUGGGGAUGACGUCAAGUCCUCAUGGCCCUUACGUGUUGGGCUACACACGUGCUACAAUGGUAUCUACAACAGGAAGCAAAACUGCGAGGUUAAGCAAAUCCUUAAAAGAUACCUCAGUUCGGAUUGCACUCUGCAACUCGAGUGCAUGAAGCUGGAAUUACUAGUAAUCGUGGAUCAGCGUGCCACGGUGAAUGCGUUCCCGGGUCUUGUACACACCGCCCGUCACACCAUGGGAGUUGGUUCUACCUUAAGGCAAGGUUUCAAACCCUUGACCACGGUAUAGUCAGCGACUGGGGUGAAGUCGUAACAAGGUAGCCGUA
rnacentral:rRNA from 1 species